AUUGAACGCUGGCGGCAGGCCUAACACAUGCAAGUCGAACGGUAACAGGAAGAAGCUUGCUUCUUUGCUGACGAGUGGCGGACGGGUGAGUAAUGUCUGGGAAACUACCUGAUGGAGGGGGAUAACUACUGGAAACGGUAGCUAAUACCGCAUAACGUCGCAAGACCAAAGAGGGGGACCUUCGGGCCUCUUGCCAUCGGAUGUGCCCAGAUGGGAUUAGCUAGUAGGUGGGGUAACGGCUCACCUAGGCGACGAUCCCUAGCUGGUCUGAGAGGAUGACCAGCCACACUGGAACUGAGACACGGUCCAGACUCCUACGGGAGGCAGCAGUGGGGAAUAUUGCACAAUGGGCGCAAGCCUGAUGCAGCCAUGCCGCGUGUAUGAAGAAGGCCUUCGGGUUGUAAAGUACUUUCAGCGGGGAGGAAGGGAGUAAAGUUAAUACCUUUGCUCAUUGACGUUACCCGCAGAAGAAGCACCGGCUAACUCCGUG
rnacentral:rRNA from 1 species